rnacentral:rRNA from 1 species
GACGAACGCUGGCGGCGUGCUUAACACAUGCAAGUCGAACGGAAAGGCCCUGCUUUUGUGGGGUGCUCGAGUGGCGAACGGGUGAGUAACACGUGAGUAACCUGCCCUUGACUUUGGGAUAACUUCAGGAAGCUGGGGCUCAUAUCGGAUAGGAGCUCCUGCUGCAUGGUGGGGGUUGGAAAGUUUCGGCGGUUGGGGAUGGACUCGCGGCUUAUCAGCUUGUUGGUGGGGUAGUGGCUUACCAAGGCUUUGACGGGUAGCCGGCCUGAGAGGGGGACCGGCCACAUUGGGACUGAGAUACGGCCCAGACUCCUACGGGAGGCAGCAGUGGGGAAUAUUGCACAAUGGGCGGAAGCCUGAUGCAGCAGCGCCGCGUGCGGGAUGACGGCCUUCGGGUUGUAAACCGCUUUCGCCUGUGACGAAGCGUGAGUGACGGUAAUGGGUAAAAAAGCACCGGCUAACUACGUG